rnacentral:rRNA from 1 species
CAGUCGCCACGGGAACACCGAGGGUGCAAGCGUUAAUCGGAAUUACUGGGCGUAAAGCGCGCGUAGGUGGUUUGUUAAGUUGGAUGUGAAAUCCCCGGGCUUAACCUGGGGACUGCAUUCAAAACUGACUGACUAGAGUAUGGUAGAGGGUGGUGGAAUUUCCUGUGUAGCGGUGAAAUGCGUAGAUAUAGGAAGGAACACCAGUGGCGAAGGCGGCUCACUGGCCCGGUACUGACGCUGAGGCGCGAAAGCGUGGGGAGCAAACAGGAUUAGAUACCCGCGUAGUCCCUGUCUCUUAUAC